GGGUCAAAUUCAUUAGAUGGAUGUCUUAAUUAUGAUUUAUUCAUAUUAUAUUUAUUGGAAGCUGCUAGGGGCCAUUUUGGUUGGUUGGUGCAUUAUUGGCUUUUAUUGUCAGCUGAGAUAAGAGUCUCUCCAUCUGGAAGCAUCCAGAAUAAUAGAAUCUCGUGUUGGAGCCCCCGCAAACCAAGAGAGACCUUUGGAAAAGAGCUUUGCAAGGGAGAUAAAGGCGAAGUUUCUAAGCUGGGUC
rnacentral:lncRNA from 1 species